UACGUAGGGGGCAAGCGUUGUCCGGAAUCAUUGGGCGUAAAGAGCGUGUAGGCGGUCCGGUAAGUCGGCUGUGAAAGUCCAGGGCUCAACCCUGGGAUGCCGGUCGAUACUGCCGGACUAGAGUUCGGAAGAGGCGAGUGGAAUUCCCUGUGUAGCGGUGAAAUGCGCAGAUAUCGGGAGGAACACCUAUGGCGAAGGCAGCUCGCUGGGACGUUACUGACGCUGAGACGCGAAAGCGUGGGGAGCAAACAGG
rnacentral:rRNA from 1 species